rnacentral:lncRNA from 1 species
CUGAAAGGUUAAUAGGUUACCAGAGAACCAUUUGGAAGACUGAAAAACAGAGGAAGGGUAGGUCAGAUCUGGAAGGAAAAUGGUAACAUUCACCCCCUCCCUUUACCCAAAUACGUUUUAAAAUAUUUUAAUUCUCAAGUCAGGAUGAUAUUUAUGGGAAUAAUAACUCGGGCUUUCUUUUAGUAAUUGAAAUUAAACAGCACUUGCUCUAGUAAGGACAGUUUCUUAUCCAUCUGUCACCACAAGUACAAGUAAUUCCAUGUGUUUAGCAGUAUCUGAACACCUAGUGCUACAGUUGGAUAACACUUGGCUGAAAAGUUUCCUAGCAUGAUCUGCAAUCAGAAAAUAACCAAAACCAAAUAUUCUUUGCCCCAGGAUAUGCAUAAUUUAAACUAACUGCAAAGAAAUUGCCAGACUUGAAGUCUGUUACAAAUAUCCACAUGCUUGUUUAAUCUAAGAACCUCAGGGGGAAAGGACACUUUGAUAACAGAAGGAUCUUAAAUAUAAAAAGCAUUAAAAUCCACGCAUGGAUUUCCAUCCAUGGAUUUUGAAGCUAGACAUGUUCCAGAUGGAAAUGUCACUCUUCCCAGCAAACAAGACUAACUACAGCAGCCCAUGGAAUAACACCAUGAAUUGUCUAACAAAAUGCCUCCUUCACAAUCUGAUAAUCUCACUGACAAAAAAUUCAGCUCCUCUCUACUUCCCUUAACGGUAUUGAUUUGUUCCGAGUAGGCUGCGGAAUGAGAAUAUUGACCACCUUUGUGCUUCUCCGCAGAGAGCCCUCGGUGGGCUGGGAGCCCUCGGUGGGCUGGGAGCCCUCGGUGGGCCGGGAGCCCGGCAGUCUCACAGCCCUCGCUGGGCGGGAGCCCGGCAGUCUCACAGCCCUCGCUGGGCGGGAGCCCGGCAGUCUCACAGCCCUCGCUCCUCAGCCCGGCAGUCUCACAGCCCUCGCUCCUCAGCCCGGCAGUCUCACAGCCCUCGGUGAACCGGGAGCCCGGCAGUCCCACAGCCCUCGCUCCUCAGCCCGGCCAUCAGCGCCGCUGCUCUCAUCAGCCGCUGACCGCGGGCCGCGAGGGACGCGCCGGGCAGGGCCGAGCCGCCAGGG